rnacentral:rRNA from 1 species
UACGCAGGGGGCAAGCGUUGUCCGGAAUCAUUGGGCGUAAAGAGCGUGUAGGCGGCUCGAUAAGUCUGCUGUGAAAGUCCAGGGCUCAACCCUGGAAGGCCGGUGGAAACUGUCGGGCUAGAGUCCGGAAGAGGCGAGUGGAAUUCCCGGUGUAGCGGUGAAAUGCGCAGAUAUCGGGAGGAACACCAAUGGCGAAGGCAGCUCGCUGGGACGGUACUGACGCUGAGACGCGAAAGCGUGGGGAGCAAACAGG